UUUCCGCACAACUUACAGCUGACAGCCCAAGGUGUAUUAUAACAAAGUCUGGUCUGUGCUAUCUUUUCCAUCAUGAAGAAAACAGUUACAGAGCUCUCAAUGUAUGGAUACCAUUCCCAGAUGCAGAGUAAGACAGCACUGGAAUAUAAAAUAACCCCUGCUGUGUCUUCAAUAUAGUCCAAAGUUGACUAUUGUUGUCAUAGGACAGAGAUUGACAGAGUUAAAAGAAGGCCAUCUCAAAUGCCUGUACCAGGCUAAUUCUUGCCGUGGCACUGAUUUCGGAACCCUCCUGUCAAAAAGGAAGUGAGUGUGAAAGAGAAAAAAAGAGUGGAAUAAAAAAGGACCUAAAUGUGGAGAGUGAAUGAGGUGGAGGGGGAACACUGGAAGAAAAUACACCUUGCAUUGAGGUUUGUGUUGCACUUAAAAUGAUGAAUAAAGGAAUGAGGAUCUUAGCUGUGUUGCCCUGUGCCUGAAUUGCUCUGAAGAUGUUCUAUAUUAAUAGAACACAGAGCCGUAAGGAAGACUCUGUUCUUCUAAUUACCCUUCUUCAUCCUUUGUUCCCUCCAACAAAGAAGCAGAUUCACUGCAAAGCUCACCCCUGUUGAAACCAUGCCUAAAUGAUCGACCACACAAAGCAGGAGGGAAAAAAAAUCCAUUGGCAUAGGACAAGUGUUGGCAAAACAAGCCAACUUAGAGUUCCAGAAGCACUUUGAAGGGUAUAUACUGUUUGUCUCUGCUAGAGGGCAGGAUACAUUAGUCCCAUAUAGGGACAAUUAGGCAAAGCAAUUGCUUUCCUUCAUAGCAGCUGUUGAUGUACACCCAAGCUCUUAAAUUAACGAUGGAACAAAUAGCUUAACUAGCUGAAUCCAAAGCUCAAGACCAGUGUGCCUGCAACACAGUUUAGAGCAGCCAGUGGCCUUUUGCCAAACACAUCUUUUAGCUCCUCUCUUCCUCUGCUAUUAGUUAUUAUCUAACAAUGUAAUUACAUUACCUAACUCUCUAAAGCAUCUUGGGAUAUGUUUUGCAUGGAAGAGUCCACCAAAUAAAACUAAUUCAAAUGACAGGCUCAUGAUUGGACAUGAAAUUGCUACUGUAACACUUAACCAAACUAAGGCUCAGAACUCUGAAGUUAUAGGUGAACAAUUACAUCUGCAUAGUUUGCAUGGGCAGCUUCCCCCACCAUGUGCACAAAUAGCUCAUUAGAUUGGCUGUAUACAAUUAUGUUGAUUGUAUGUGCAACAACAGUAUCUCCAUGUGGAAAUUAUGAGUACAGUUUUAAAAGUAACAUGAGUUGUUGAUUUUCAUAAAGGUACCGGUAAUUGUAGGUUUUAGGGAGUCAAAUGCUACAUAUACUGUACUGACCACUAUAUUUUGCUGGUGUUAUUUUAUUGUUUCAAUGAUCACCAAUGUUGUUAAAUCAGAGAAACGCUGGGAUAAACUCCGUGGUGACAAGCUCAUUAUUGUAUAAUCACAGUUUGUUUUAUUCUGACUAUCCACCUUUACUGUGGUCUGCCCUGCUCCUCAACCCACUUUGGAUACAUCUAUGCUUCAAGGUACGAGAGGAAUUCUCAUCUGGGGAGCAACUAUUUACACUGCUUCUGAUCAAGUUAGUGUGUUAAUAAUAAAGUGGAAGCAUAGUAGCAUGACCAACAGGAGGGGCUAGUCGCCCAAGUGCAUGCUUAGUAUUUCCAACGGCUGCAUACUUGGGAUAGUUAGCCCCUCCCCUGCUGCUAUAGGUACACUAUUUUUAGCACGCUGGAUCAAACACUUCUAUUUGGUCCUGCCAUGGAGGCAGGGAACUGGACUUGAUGACCUCUCAAGGUCCCUUCCAGUUCUAGCAUUUGAUGAUUACCUAACUUAGACCACUUUAGCUAUGUGAAUAAUGUAGCUGAAGUUGACGAACUGCAGCGAAGAUACCAUGCUAAGCAUACUUAAGGCAGUCAAUAGAUGAUGCUCUCCCAUCAACAUUGCUUACUCUUCUUGUUUUCGUGGAGUGUCGGAGUCGGUGGGAAAGCACACUGUGGUCAAUUUAUUGCGUCUAGGACACAGCAAAUCAAGUCCUGCUGGAUUGAUUGCUGCCUGUCGAUUUAAUGGGUAGUGAAGACAUGCCCAAGAUAGUUCUGGUUCUAUCCCUGGAUGCUCUGCUGACCAGCUCGGUGAUGUUGGGCAGUUUAUUUGAACUAUGCCUCGUUUUUCUCUUAUGUCAAGGUGAUAAUGAAACAUCUUUCUUGGUAUAGGGCUUUGAUGUCUAUGGUUGAAAAAGGCUACUGAGAUGAUAAGCAUUAUUUCAGGAAGCUUUGUGGGCAAAAUUGUCAAAAUGAGUCCUUUUUUUCCUUAAGUGCAUCUGUUUAUAUAUAGCGCACGCACGCACGCGCACACACUCUAAAGUUUAUAUGUCUAAUUUCAUUUCUACAUCAAAAAAAGGAGCAAAGGAGCACACCAAGUAUUUGGUUCUACAUUCCUCAAAACUCUAGAGUAAGGCAAAUUUGUACAGACAAGUUAUAAAAUGCCUGCAAAAGAGUGCGACAGAUGUUGAGUGACACACUAAAGAUAUCUAUACUAAUGGGAUAGUAGUAAAUGAGACUGCUAGAGUAAC